GGCUCAGGACGAACGCUGGCGGCGUGCCUAACACAUGCAAGUCGAGCGAUGAAGCCCUUCGGGGUGGAUUAGCGGCGGACGGGUGAGUAACACGUGGGUAACCUGCCUCAAAGAGGGGGAUAGCCUCCCGAAAGGGAGAUUAAUACCGCAUAACAUUGGUUUUUCGCAUGGAGAACCAAUUAAAGGAGUAAUCCGCUUUGAGAUGGACCCGCGGCGCAUUAGCUAGUUGGUGAGGUAAAGGCUCACCAAGGCGACGAUGCGUAGCCGACCUGAGAGGGUGAUCGGCCACAUUGGAACUGAGACACGGUCCAGACUCCUACGGAGGCAGCAGUGGGGAAUAUUGCACAAUGGGCGAAAGCCUGAUGCAGCAACGCCGCGUGAGUGAUGAAGGCCUUCGGGUUGUAAAGCUCUGUCUUUGGGGACGAUAAUGACGGUACCCAAGGAGGAAGCCACGGCUAACUACGUGCCAGCAGCCGCGGUAAUACGUAGGUGGCGAGCGUUGUCCGGAUUUACUGGGCGUAAAGGAUGCGUAGGUGGAUGUUUAAGUCAGAUGUGAAAUACCCGAGCUUAACUUGGGUGCUGCAUUUGAAACUGGACAUCUAGAGUGCAGGAGAGGUAAGUGGAAUUCCUAGUGUAGCGGUGAAAUGCGUAGAGAUUAGGAAGAACACCAGUGGCGAAGGCGACUUACUGGACUGUAACUGACACUGAGGCAUGAAAGCGUGGGUAGCAAACAGGAUUAGAUACCCUGGUAGUCCACGCCGUAAACGAUGAGUACUAGGUGUAGGGGGGUCCAACCUUCUGUGCCGCAGUUAACACAAUAAGUACUCCGCCUGGGAAGUACGAUCGCAAGAUUAAAACUCAAAG
rnacentral:rRNA from 1 species